rnacentral:rRNA from 1 species
UUCGAUUGUGCCAGCAGCCGCGGUAAUACAGAGGGUGCAAGCGUUAAUCGGAUUUACUGGGCGUAAAGCGCGCGUAGGCGGCUAAUUAAGUCAAAUGUGAAAUCCCCGAGCUUAACUUGGGAAUUGCAUUCGAUACUGGUUAGCUAGAGUGUGGGAGAGGAUGGUAGAAUUCCAGGUGUAGCGGUGAAAUGCGUAGAGAUCUGGAGGAAUACCGAUGGCGAAGGCAGCCAUCUGGCCUAACACUGACGCUGAGGUGCGAAAGCAUGGGGAGCAAACAGGAUUAGAUACCCUGGUAGUCCAUGCCGUAAACGAUGUCUACUAGCCGUUGGGGCCUUUAAGGCUUUAGUGGCGCAGCUAACGCGAUAAGUAGACCGCCUGGGGAGUACGGUCGC